CUGCUAGCAGCGAGAAUAUAACCAUGCUAUGUCUGUAGAGAGAGCACAUUAGAUGGCACAAAGAGUGGACCUGAUGUUGUGGGAAUCACCAUGCAGCACCAGGUGAAAGCAACUAAGGGUUUCCAGCGUCGAGAGCAACAGUGUGAACGUGGCCACGCCUCCAGCCUCCCUGUCAGCUGAUUCCCGCUCUCAAGUGGUCAAGGCCCCGUGAAGUGCAGACCAGCACAGAAACACAGUAAAUACAGGGAGCCUGCCCACAUUUGCCUACACCCAAAGAAUCCAGAAGCUCAUCUAUGCCUCUGUUUAGGCGGUUCCACGUUCUGACUCCACCAGGCACAGGACUCUCAUUUGCUCAAAAAACCACAGUGCACAUGGAUCUGAAAAGUCAGCAGUAGCUUGAGAACUUGGAAGGAGAACAGAGAUGUGUAAAGCGUCAACUGGAAAAGAGAUGGUGCAUACUGCACAGAAUGUGUUUCUCAAAGUGUUGUCUGGGGACUCCUGGGACACUUUCUAGCUGAUCACAUGUGGAUUAAAUGAAAGAAACAUCAGAUGGCUGGUCUUGCAAAGCUGAAGGCAGGCCAUUGACCCAGGAGUUGGUCUGAGCUUCUGGCAGAAGCAGCCAUUGUCCUGGAAAGUCGAAAUGAGGAACAAAAAGUCUGAAGUCCUGAAAAUGAUACACAUUGCAGCCUCUUUGCCUUUCUUUUACUUCCUUUAUUGUUCUCACCUCAUCAUGAAUUAGAAUGUAAUGCAGGAGCAGCAUGACAGAUCUUGCCCACUGAGCCACUAAAGGAAAAGAAAUUACAAAAUUUUUAAAUGAAAAAUCAUGAAUAAGUAAAGCAAGAGACUAUUUCUCUCUGACAUAGCAGCCUGCCCUCACUGCCCUGCAUUCUCAGAGGGAGAUGGAGACAGAGACAGAGGAAUGAAGAAGCCCAAUGGAAUCCACUCACUGAUAAACAACCAAAGGUCAUUAGUUUCUGUAACAUAAGCUUCUAAUGAGACACAUCAUCAUCACUGAAUCCCCUGUGCCCAGCUCAGAAACCUCAAGCACAACAAGUGUUCAAUAGUUUAAGUAAAAGAGUUGAAUAGUAAAAUCUGUUCUUGGCAACAUAAAAAUUAUGUGCCUACUGAAGGUGAAAUGAUUGCCGUUGGGUAAUUCCUCCACCUCCUUAGACGAAAGAAAUGUUUGCUCUCAGCACCUGAGGGCUGUUGACAUUUUUGAUACCUGGGGACUGAGUCAGGAGAGCAGGAGGUCACCACUGAGGACUGAGGUCCUUCACGCAAACACUUUAGGAGCAAGGGUGACGGUCCUGAAGGAUAAAUUAUUUUGCCAACACGGAAAUAAACCCCUCCACAGAAAAUAAAUCCUCAGGAUUGAAGUCCUCAGGCUGUGGUGAGCCUGCCCUCAGUUCUUGAGUCCAGGAGAGUUCAGGAUGAGGCCUCUGUCACUGGGGAGGAGCUG
rnacentral:lncRNA from 1 species